GUGGAUAUAGCUCAGUUAGCAGAGUGCUCACCUAGUGUGCGCAAGGCCCUGGGUUCAAUCCUCAGUAACACACA
rnacentral:tRNA from 1 species